rnacentral:rRNA from 1 species
GGGUCCUACGGGACGCAGCAGUGGGGAAUAUUGGACAAUGGGGGGAACCCUGAUCCAGCGACGCCGCGUGAGUGAAGAAGUAUUUCGGUAUGUAAAGCUCUAUCAGCAGGGAAGAAAGAAAUGACGGUACCUGACUAAGAAGCCCCGGCUAACUACGUGCCAGCAGCCGCGGUAAUACGUAGGGGGCAAGCGUUAUCCGGAUUUACUGGGUGUAAAGGGAGCGUAGGCGGCUGUGUAAGCCAGAAGUGAAAGCCCGAGGCUCAACCACGGGACUGCUUUUGGAACUACAUGGCUUGAUUGCAGGG